rnacentral:rRNA from 1 species
UACGGAGGGUGCGAGCGUUGUCCGGAAUCACUGGGCAUAAAGGGCGCGUAGGCGGUUCCGAAAGUGGCCUGUGAAAUCCCCCGGCUCAACCGGGGAAGUGCGGGCCAAACUUCGGUCCUUGAGGCUGGGAGGGGAGACUGGAACUCUCGGUGGAGCGGUGAAAUGCGUAGAUAUCGAGAGGAACACCGGUGGCGAAGGCGAGUCUCUGGUCCAGCUCUGACGCUGAGGCGCGAAAGCGUGGGUAGCAAACAGG